rnacentral:rRNA from 1 species
CAGUCGCCGCGGGAAAACAGAGGAUGCAAGCGUUAUCCGGAAUGAUUGGGCAUAAAGCGUCUGUAGGUGGCUUUUUAAGUCCGCCGUCAAAUCCCAGGGCUCAACCCUAGACAGGCGGUGGAAACUACCAAGCUGGAGUAUGGUAGGGGCAGAGGGAAUUUCCGGUGGAGCGGCGAAAUGCGUUGAGAUCGGAAAGAACACCAGCGGCGAAGGCGACUCUCUGGUCUGUAACUGACGCUGAGGAGCGAAAGCGUGGGGAGCGAACAGGAUUAGAUACCCGAGUAGUCCCUGUCUCUUAUAA